GGGGGUGAAACGGCUUCGACGGGGUAUGGAAAGGCACACAAGGCGACCCGGUAUCAGAACCACCGUAACGGACUGAAUUCACAAUUGCCAACGACGAGUUCUACGGCGAAGCUCUCGCUGCGGCCUGAAACCGCAGUUUGAGCGGGGCCUGGACCCGGGCCCGGCAACAGAGGUCUCCGGACAGGGUCAAGCCGGAAUACGCGCACGCCGGUUGAAAUCCAGAGGCGCCCAGUGCUCCGAGGCAACGGAGGUCCCUUGAUCCGCGCCGGUUGCAAAGGCUGAGGGUCACCAAACCGGCAAAAUGGUCGUAAUUCCUUUGGGUUGAAUACAUAUUUCGGACCCGGGUUCGACUCCCGGCACCUCCACCA
rnacentral:tmRNA from 1 species